GUUGGGAUUGGGGGCAGGGAGAUGCUUGUCACUGUUGACCCAACAAACCUGUGUGGUGAGGUCUCAGUCACCUGGAACAGGGGUGCGUUCACCAAGGCCUUCAUGGGGAUGAAGGCUGGCGAGCAAAGUCACUGACGUGGCGGAGAGAACCCCCCGCCCUUUUCCUGACUCUGCCACUGUUUGGCUCUGUGGCUUCUUGCCGGUGGCCUCACCUCUCUGUGCCUCAACCCCUGCAUCCACAACACUUCCUGGUUCCCUCCCAGGGACAUUGUGAGAAUUAACACGUGCUAAUGUCUGUAACCCACUUUGUAACCUCUCGGGAGACAGGUGGCAAGCAAUGAGGCUAGAAGGGAGCUCUGAGUUCCCGCUUACAGCACCGGACUGACCUUGAACUGGUUCUCCCCAACAGUGUUCCGGUUGGAACAACGUGCACAAGGAGGAAAGGAAUGCUUAAUGUUCAGACUCUCUAGAGCCCCCAGUAGGGCUUGACCAAAAAGAGAGAGAGAGAGAGAAAAAAAAAAAGUCCACAGACACAACCCUUGAAAACCAGUCGGACCCAUGUGUUCGGGCUCGAGUCUGUUGACCUCAGCGCUGAGCGAUGACUUGGGAGGGACGACAUGCACUGGAGUUCCCCUGACACUUUGGUUGUCAAAGCAAAUCCUUUGUUGGGACCACGAUGCUCGACCGCCAUUGGGGCCGUUCGCACCAGAGUCAAUGACAGGCCUGAACUCCCAAGACUUGAACAGGUGUCGGCCUCCAAGAACCGUCAAAGUACAUGUUCCUCAGCCCAAUGAACCAGGUCCCCCUGCGGGAAAAGCCUAAACCGAGGCCUGAGGAACCUGAGAGUGACCCUUCCUCCCCGAUGCCGGAGACCAUGGUUUUCUCUCUGAUCUUAAGAUAAGCACAGCUUUUCUUGCCCAUGGAAACCAAACGCCCAGCUGGUGGACAGGUGGAUGGCCCUCCGUUCAUCUGAUGUUUAGCCUUCUAGGGUCCCAUUUCUGAUUCCGUGGCCUUUGGGGGGCGGGCGGGGCGGGGCGGGAAGCUCUGGUAUCUAAGGUGGCUUUGCUGAGGUUCCAAAUUCCAGCCACAUUCAGCCACACCUGGGGCCUGCAGCCCGGAGGGGGAAGUAAAAGGUCUUCUAACCCGAUGCCACAGGUCACUCCCAAGCCAGCCUCCAGGCUGGGUGACCCGGAACCCUGGGAUCUGCCUCUUGGGAAGCAGCAGACCAGGCAGGAAAUGACUCCCACAGGCCCGUAGGCUCUGGCCCGUCCCGCCCACGCCGCUCUUCGAGGCUCCAACGGGCUCCUGGUGGGUGAGCGGCGAGGAAAGAAAGCCCGUGGGACACGGCGACUUCUGAAGCCCACGUUCUUGGCGACAGUUGGCUGGUGAGAAGGUGUCCCAACCCAGAGGGAGUUUGUUGGCCGCAAAGGGAAAAGUUGUCCACGAACAGAGAUGAUGCUCCUGCCUUUUAGCUGCUGGUCACGGCCCCAGCGCCUUCCCAAGAGUGGAUUUUAACACUGUAACAAUAAAUACUACUGCACAGCGGCUCAUUCAUAGUA